GGGGUUGUGGCUCAGUGGUAGAGUGCUCACCUAGCACAUGUGAGGCACUGGGUUCAAACCUCAGCACCA
rnacentral:tRNA from 1 species